CGAUAAAGGAACCGUUAUUUUUCGCAGAUAAUUCAGCGGUGUCCUCAGAGGACUUUGUAAUUUCUGAGCAGCAAGAAAGCUAACUUCUGAUGGACCUCACAAUUUUGAUCCAAAACUGAAAAGGAUAACAAUAGCCAGUACCCCCUUCAAAUUUCUGCAUCAAAUAACUGUACAUGCUGGGAUCAAAUCUGCUAUGGAAAUGCAAGCGGGAG